AUUGAACGCUGGCGGCAUGCCUUACACAUGCAAGUCGAACGGCAGCACGGGAGCAAUCCUGGUGGCGAGUGGCGAACGGGUGAGUAAUAUAUCGGAACGUGCCCAGUCGUGGGGAUAACGUAGCGAAAGCUACGCUAAUACCGCAUACGAUCUAUGGAUGAAAGCGGGGGAUCGCAAGACCUCGCGCGAUUGGAGCGGCCGAUAUCAGAUUAGGUAGUUGGUGAGGUAAAGGCUCACCAAGCCGACGAUCUGUAGCUGGUCUGAGAGGACGACCAGCCACACUGGGACUGAGACACGGCCCAGACUCCUACGGGAGGCAGCAGUGGGGAAUUUUGGACAAUGGGCGCAAGCCUGAUCCAGCAAUGCCGCGUGCAGGAUGAAGGCCUUCGGUUGUAACUAGCUUU
rnacentral:rRNA from 1 species